GGUAGGAGCCAAGCGGCUUAGGAGUUAUCCCCUUCCAAGCCAACCAGUCCGCACAUGCGCAGGAGGAGUUGAUGCUGGCGUCGGCCGUGCACAGGCCGAGGGAUCUGCUCCGGUGCGGUGGUGAUGAGCGUGGUGCGUGCACUGGCACGGCCGCAUGCUGGUGCGUGCAGUGGCGUCAACAUGAAGCCACCCCCGCCGGUGCAGAGGAGGAAGACAACAUAGGACGAGACAAGGACAUAGCUGUAAAUCCAUGGCAGGACAUGGGUUUAGGAGACAUUGGGAAUGGAUGUUUUACACACGGAUAUUGUUGAGGAUUUUUCCCCCGCCUGCACAGGCCACAUCUUGGUGGAUGUCUUUUGCCCUUCUGGUGGUGUGCUGCAAGGGCAGGCGAUGCCCAGACGACGGGCGCUGCUGAACGAAACGGGGUGCGCAGAAAAAGUGAUGACAUGGCUUUGAAAGAGAGCAUCAAAAUGAUGUAGUGGGGUUCUCCCUCUUACAUACAGAAGAUUCCGGAACCAAGAUUCAGCUUCUCCUGAGGGUUGUUUGGUUGCAUAUAUCAUACCUGGUUCGCACAAGAGCUAUAGAUGGAGGCAUGUUUGGUAGGUUGAAUUGCACGUAGAGCCUGCAUCCACGAUGCAGAAAAGGGUCUCGUUCCAAGACAAAAACGUGAGAAGAGCACGAGAGCUAUAGUUGUAGAACUAAAAUUAUAGGCAGCAUUAUUUUUUCAAUUACCUCGUCACACAUUUGAAGAAGUACCAAAUGUGGACAUCAUGUAUUUGGCAUCAUGAAAUUUGGCACGAGGGAACACUUUAGUUCCAGGUCGAGAUCUCCA